rnacentral:hammerhead_ribozyme from 1 species
ACCCAGAUGACGAAUCCCAAACAGAACGAAGUGCGUGUCCUAGAU